GAACAAAAUGUCUGAUCUGAUAAUGAAUUUUACUAAACAUCACAAUGAAUUCAUGGCCCCUGCGCAAGGAUGACGCACAAAUUCGUGAAGCGUUCCUCAUUUUA
ensembl:snRNA U6 U6 spliceosomal RNA